UUCAUGGUGUGUUUGUGUUGGCAACUGACGUAUAAGAGAUUGGACAGACGCCGGUCCGAUUCACUUCAAUUGCUAGUGACUACAUUUGGGGUCUAAUUCUGCUCAAUGCACAGGAAUCGCCCUCUUAGUUGUGUCUCACAGUAAUUGGCCGAGAAGGUGCUUCCUGCAUGGAUUGGGGGAGAUCAGAGAAAAUUGUGGCUCGUGUCCUCCAGCCGGCCAUCAAGUUGAUCUGCCAGUGACAGUCAGGGGAAGCUGAUGAAAUCCCUGACAGCUGACUGUGUCCUGUCCAUCAAGUUGGCGACCCCCACAUAUGAUUCCCUUCUUAAUCUAAUAUGUUACCAAUGGACAUAUGUCAAAGCGCCAUAGCUUCUAGAGACAGUCCUCAGGUGCCUGAAGCUGAAGCCGAGAAAUAAUGUUCGUCGGGGGAUUCAGGGAGAUAACAUCAUUAAAGGAUUCAGACGUGAGUGACGCGCGCCAACCCUGUGGUUUUCCUUUGAAGUCGACCCCCAAUUUUUCGCUUGGUUUUAUUCAUUGCUAGAUUUCAUCCUUCUCCAUAGUCCCACUAUCCUUACAAUUUACACUCACUGACAAAAAAGAUUAUGCACCCAGAUAGAAAUUGCAGUCAGAUUACUGCAAAACUCGGCAUGCAGUUAUGUCUUGGCAAAUAUGUAAAUAAAUACAGGUGUGGUCUGGUUACCCACUGGGUCUUGCCACAAGAGGGUGCUUCCCCAUUGCCCUAUAAAAAUUAUUUUAGA